GCCGCCGCCGCCGCGGGCGCACUCGCCGGUCGCAGUGAAAAGGCGGAGGCGGCGGCCGCUCCGGCUCCCAUUGCCUCCCCCGCCGCACCCCCUCCCCACCUUCCGCACCCGCCAAACUUGAUGUGACCCUGGCCCGACGCGGAGGCUGCCCCUCUCACUGCCCCGUGGGUCCCCCGCCACCCGCUCCGCACCCGCGAGCGCACCGCUCCCCGCGCCCCUUCCCACUUCCCGCGGGGCCGGCGCCGCGCUCGCCCUCGCGUUCCUUCCCGCCGCCCCCUCCCCCGCACCAUGAGCAACCUGAAGCCGGACGGCGAGCACGGCGGCAGCACCGGCACCGGCUCCGGCGCGGGCUCCGGCGGCGCCCUGGAGGAGGAGGUCCGGACACUGUUUGUCAGCGGCCUCCCUGUGGACAUUAAACCCAGAGAACUCUACUUGCUCUUCCGGCCAUUCAAGGGGUAUGAAGGGUCCCUGAUCAAGCUCACUGCGAGACAGCCUGUUGGUUUUGUGAUCUUUGACAGCCGUGCAGGAGCAGAAGCGGCCAAGAAUGCGCUGAACGGUAUUCGCUUUGAUCCCGAAAAUCCACAGACUCUGAGGCUAGAGUUUGCCAAAGCCAACACCAAGAUGGCCAAGAGCAAGCUAAUGGCAACUCCAAAUCCCAGCAACGUGCACCCCGCCCUAGGAGCACACUUCAUCGCACGGGACCCCUAUGACCUGAUGGGGGCUGCUCUGAUCCCUGCAUCCCCAGAGGCCUGGGCCCCCUACCCUUUGUACACCACAGAGCUGACCCCAGCCAUCUCCCAUGCUGCGUUCACCUACCCAGCUGCCACUGCCGCUGCUGCCGCCCUCCACGCUCAGAAUUAGGAAUUCCGUGCUGUGUCAGUAAAGGGGAAGGGCGGGUUGCUGGCACCACUGCCCCCAGCUGCCAGGGCUCCCGCCAGUAUAGUGGCCCAUUUGGAUUGGGCUGAUUGGGGUAUGAGACGCCUGCGUGACUUUCCUUCGCUGGAACCUGUGUCCUGCAGAGGAGGCACAUCAGGCAGUGCACUCCCACUUUCCGGAUAGAGAAACUGAUGCUUAAAGGUGCGCUGGUACCCUUCCUCUGACACCACCCAGCAAGGAUGGAAGUACCGUCAGUUCUGUUAGUUUUUCAGUCUGGUCACCGGGGAGGUGGUUCUGGGAAUCUGUGGUGGUGCCGGGACAGGCGCCCCGAGUUCCCACUGCCCCCGGGCGGCCUGCACAGAGCUGCUGCCCUCCAGAGACUGUGAAUCCCAAGCCUGACUCAGUGGACUGCUUCCUGUUCCCCUCCCUCCUCUUCCUCACCUUGUUCUGCACCCUCAAGCCUUUCUCCCUCAAUGCCUCCCAGGAGGAUUUGGGGACUUUCUCCCUGGGGCGCCCAGAUCCAGCUCGGAGGCCUCACUGGGACCUGGCAAGGCCUGACCUCCUGCCCAAACUUGCUUCUGUAGCUCCCCCUCGAGGAAGUGAGGUGUUUAAUUUUGCAUGUUUUCUGGCAUGAAUUAAGACACUUACACUUGUGUAUAUAUGAGUGUACAGUUUGUUCUCACACUGUCACCAUAGCGACAGGUCCUGGCUCCCAGUGGUUCAUCCUGCCUGGCCCCUCUCUCCUCGCCCCGCCCCUGCACCCACCCCGCUUCAGGGAGGCCCAAGUUCCGUGGCCCCACACGCUUCCAGGCUCAGCUCCCACCUCCACCCAACAGAUAGAUGGGGUUUGCUUUUUCAUUUCACAUGGGGCUCCUCCGCUCCUGUCUUCUCGGAUGGGCCAACAGUCGUAAGAAAGCCCUCUCUGCCCGUUCUGUUCACCUCUCCACAGCGCACCCCGCCCGCCGCUGCUCCUCAUUCUUUCCAAACCUCGAAACCAACCAAAACGUGAGAAGUAUUUUUGUACCCUGUGUAACAAAAUAUUUAUGCAUCAUAAAGGAUUUUUCAUGUGCGUACCAUUAAUUAUUAAAGCGACCUCGUUCGCCCUGUCAGAUAAGUUUAAUGUUUAGUUUGAGGCAUGAAGAAGAAAAGGGUUUCCAUUCUUCAGCAGUACGCCUUUGUGUCUGGCAUUUGUUUAAGAAAAUGAAAUGAAGGAAACACUGUGCAAUGUUUUUUGUUUUGAGCAUAUCAGUGCUUUACUGUCAGCCGCAGCUGUGACCGUCUGGCCAUUUCAGACUUGGGAGAUGAGGCGGCUGUUGUCAUUGCUGAUCCUGUGAGAAUGUGAAACUGGAUAAUAUAUGAAAUGCAAAAUAAAACAAAAUCAAACUGA